GGCCGGUUAGCUCAGCUGGUUAGAGCGUGGUGCUAAUAACGCCAAGGUCGCGGGUUCGAUCCCCAUACUGGCCA
rfam:Danio rerio chromosome 4, GRCz11 reference primary assembly.